rnacentral:rRNA from 1 species
GAUGAACGCUGCCAGAAUGCUUAACACAUGCAAGUCAACUUGAAUUUGGGUUUUUAACUUAGGUUUGGGUGGCGGACGGGUGAGUAACGCGUAAAGAACUUGCCUCACAGCUAGGGACAACAUUUGGAAACGAAUGCUAAUACCUAAUAUUAUGAUAAUAGGGCAUCCUAUAAUUAUGAAAGCUAUAAGCGCUGUGAGAGAGCUUUGCGUCCCAUUAGCUAGUUGGAGAGGUAACGGCUCACCAAGGCGAUGAUGGGUAGCCGGCCUGAGAGGGUGAUCGGCCACAAGGGGACUGAGACACGGCCCUUACUCCUACGGGAGGCAGCAGUGGGGAAUAUUGGACAACGGACCGAGAGUCUGAUCCAGCAAUUCUGUGUGCACGAUGAAGUUUUUCGGAAUGUAAAGUGCUUUCAGUUGGGAAGAAACAAAUGACGGUACCAACAGAAGAAGUGACGGCUAAAUACGUG